rnacentral:rRNA from 1 species
GAUGAACGCUGGCGGCGUGCUUAACACAUGCAAGUCGAACGGAAAGGCUCCUGCUUGCAGGGGUACUCGAGUGGCGAACGGGUGAGUAACACGUGGGUGAUCUGCCCUGCACUUCGGGAUAAGCCUGGGAAACUGGGUCUAAUACCGGAUAGGACGAUGGUUUGGAUGCCAUUGUGGAAAGUUUUUCGGUGUGGGAUGAGCUCGCGGCCUAUCAGCUUGUUGGUGGGGUAAUGGCCUACCAAGGCGUCGACGGGUAGCCGGCCGGAGAGGGUGUACGGCCACAUUGGGACUGAGGUACGGCGCAGACGCCUACGGGAGGCAGCAGUGGGGAAUAUUGCACAAUGGGCGCAAGCCUGAUGCAGCGACGCCGCGUGGGGGAUGCCGGCCUUCGGGUUGUAAACUCCUUUCGCUAGAGACGAAGCGCAAGUGACGGUACCUGGAGAAGAAGCACCGGCUAACUACGUG